GAAAUGCGAUACGUAAUGUGAAUUGCAGAAUUCCGUGAAUCAUCGAAUCCUCGAACGCAUAUUGCGCUUCUGGGUAUUCCUAGAAGCACGCCUGUUUGAGUAUCAGUGUUAACCCUCAAACAAAAAUGAUAUUCUAUGUAUCGUUUUUUUGUUUGGAAAUGGAUUUUCCGCGAACUGACCAUCACGAAUGAUCUUCGCGAAAUCUGAAAUAUAGAGAAAGGCAGUUCCAAAUCGGAACCAAAGGCUAGAUAAGAAAUUUCCCAUUUUUUUGGGCCAAUUUCAAAAAAGCUGAUAAAGUUCCUCGGAUCUGAUUUCCUUCAAUAACCAAAAAAUCCGGGCGCGAUUCUAUCGCGAAUCCGCGAAUUUGAUCUCAAAUCAGGCGAGACUACCCGCUGAACUU
rnacentral:misc_RNA from 1 species